rnacentral:lncRNA from 1 species
CUGCCCCUGAGUCCUAUCAAGCCAUGUAAACCCCACCUCUUGUUCUAGUUCCUUCCCUGCCUCUCAGCCCUUCCUCGAAGCCGCAUUGGCGUUGUGACUGCCGCCCCUCCCACGUGUUUGUUCCUAUUGGUCCCCAACAUUGUAAACCCUCCCCCAACUCCUCCCCUGAGAUGCCCUGAUUGGUUCCUGUGUUUGUACCCUCCCCACCUUAAAUUGGGGCGCACAGAGGUGUUCAUUGCUCAGUCUGUCCUACCCUCGACCUUUCCAGUCCUUCCCUCAUCCACUGUUCCCGUUCCUGGAAUAAAGCCUGGUUUCUGGAGAGAACCUAGGACUCUGAGCUUCCUCCUUGCCUUCAUCGGGCACCCACGAUGCACCUGAAGCCACAUUUCCUGAGGGCUAACAGGCUCUGAAGGUUCGGUCUGGGACAAACAUCUCCCAGACCGUUCCCCACUCCCGGCGCUGCCAGCGGCUAGGGAGAAGGAGCUAGCCAGGGCAAGGAAAGCCGCGGCAGGGGCAGCGUCAGUGUAUAUUAAUUGUGCUAUGCUAGUGGAAGUCUCAUGUUUAUUCCUUCUUAUAAUUUUGGGAAGGAGCUGGAGGGAGAAGAUAGAUGAAGUGAUGAGUGGUCUUUUCUGGAGGGUGCUGAAUAUGAAGCAAAUUCAUUUGGGUUGCUGCUCACCUGCCUUUGCAUGGAAAUACAGAUACAUAUUAUUCAACGUACCUCAUGUACAUUUCAGCUCUUGCACCCAGCGCUGUGCUAAGCCUCUUGAAAUCAGUUGUCUACCCUUUUCUAUGGAAAUGUGUCUUCCAAAGAGCUGAGCACCCACUCCCUGACAGAGGCUGUGUGCUAAUCAGGUUGUCAUUACAAAGGCCACAGAGGUAACUGUGCAAUUCUCUGCCAAAGUUAACAUGAGGGAUCGCUGCUGGGAAGGGCUGUUGUCCCAGGCAGUCACAGCGCAGUGCCUGCUAGGAAAAAAAAAGCACAGCAAUUUAGUGUGCUGGACAGAAGAAGAUCACACUGAUACAGACUUCUAACAUAAAGAGAGAAUUGGAUGAAAAAUGACUGACUGGACAGACUCCUUUUCAGAUGGAAAGCAGAGAAUGUGUCAAAUGUCUCACCGACAUCACUGAAAAUAUCAUGAGGUCCUUCUGGCAGCUAUUGGAGCAGCCACAGAAACUGGAAUUAUCUCUACAAGCUCUUAUCAGUGAGAUGUUAGGGGACUCUAUGGAUGUUACAAAUUAGCUGACGUAGAAAUAUGUUCGGUUUCUUUAGUCCCUUUUUUAGGAAAUUGGGAAAUAAAGGGGAAUGUAUAGAACA